CCUACGGGCGGCAGCAGUGAGGAAUAUUGGUCAAUGGACGAGAGUCUGAACCAGCCAAGUAGCGUGAAGGAUGACUGCCCUAUGGGUUGUAAACUUCUUUUAUAUGGGAAUAAAAUGUUCCACGUGUGGGAUUUUGUAUGUACCAUAUGAAUAAGGAUCGGCUAACUCCGUGCCAGCAGCCGCGGUAAUACGGAGGAUCCGAGCGUUAUCCGGAUUUAUUGGGUUUAAAGGGAGCGUAGGUGGAUUGUUAAGUCAGUUGUGAAAGUUUGCGGCUCAACCGUAAAAUUGCAGUUGAAACUGGCAGUCUUGAGUACAGUAGAGGUGGGCGGAAUUCGUGGUGUAGCGGUGAAAUGCUUAGAUAGCACGAAGAACUCCGAUUGCGAAGGCAGUUCACUGGACUGCAACUGACACUGAGGCUCGAAAGUGUGGGUAUCAAACAGGAUUAGAUACCCGGGUAGUC
rnacentral:rRNA from 1 species